rnacentral:rRNA from 1 species
UGUAUUUAUACCAAUAAUAGGUAGUAAAUUCUUAACAAACCUUUAUAUCAUGGUGGCAUUUCAUUUUAUUAGAGGAAUAUGUUUAAUAAUCGUAACCACACGAUUACUUUCACUCUUAAUUAUAUUUUAUAUACCGCCGUCUUGAAUAGAUCCCAAAAUUUUAUACAAAAAAAAAUUCUAAAAAUUUAGGUAAAGGUGUAAACUAUUUAAAAGAUAAAAUGUAUUACAUUAAAUAAAAUUUAAGGAUCGAAUUAAACAUAAUAUCAAGAAAAAGGAUUUAUAAGUAUUAUUUGAUUAAUAUUAAAAUUUGAAUAAAAAAAAUAAAUGUGCACAUAUCGCCCGUCACCCUUACCACAAGGUAAGGU